rnacentral:rRNA from 1 species
AGUGAACGCUGGCGGUAGACCUAACACAUGCAAGUCGAACGGCAGCACAGUAAGAGCUUGCUCUUACGGGUGGCGAGUGGCGGACGGGUGAGGAAUACAUCGGAAUCUACUUUUUCGUGGGGGAUAACGUAGGGAAACUUACGCUAAUACCGCAUACGACCUACGGGUGAAAGCAGGGGAUCUUCGGACCUUGCGCGAUUGAAUGAGCCGAUGUCGGAUUAGCUAGUUGGCGGGGUAAAGGCCCACCAAGGCGACGAUCCGUGGCUGGUCUGAGAGGAUGAUCAGCCACACUGGAACUGAGACACGGUCCAGACUCCUACGGGAGGCAGCAGUGGGGAAUAUUGGACAAUGGGCGCAAGCCUGAUCCAGCCAUACCGCGUGGGUGAAGAAGGCCUUCGGGUUGUAAAGCCCUUUUGUUGGGAAAGAAAAGCAGCAGGUUAAUACCCCGCUGUUCUGACGGUACCCAAAGAAUAAGCACCGGCUAACUUCGUG